AACGAACGCUGGCGGCAGGCUUAACACAUGCAAGUCGAACGGUCUCUUCGGAGGCAGUGGCAGACGGGUGAGUAACGCGUGGGAAUCUACCCAUCCCUACGGGAUAGCUCCGGGAAACUGGAAUUAAUACCGUAUACGCCCUUUUGGGGAAAGAUUUAUCGGGGAUGGAUGAGCCCGCGUUGGAUUAGCUAGUUGGUGGGGUAAGGGCUCACCAAGGCGACGAUCCAUAGCUGGUCUUAGAGGAUGAUCAGCCACAUUGGGACUGAGACACGGCCCAAACUCCUACGGGAGGCAGCAGUGGGGAAUAUUGGACAAUGGGCGCAAGCCUGAUCCAGCCAUGCCGCGUGAGUGAUGAAGGUCUUAGGAUUGUAAAGCUCUUUCACCGGGGACGAUAAUGACGGUACCCGGAGAAGAAGCCCCGGCUAACUUCGUGCCAGCCGCCGCAGUAA
rnacentral:rRNA from 1 species